rnacentral:rRNA from 1 species
ACUCAAAUGAAUUGACGGGGACCCGCACAAGCGGUGGAGCAUGUGGUUUAAUUCGAUGCAACGCGAAGAACCUUACCUGGCCUUGACAUGUCUGGAAUCCCGAAGAGAUUUGGGAGUGCCGCAAGGAACCAGAACACAGGUGCUGCAUGGCUGUCGUCAGCUCGUGUCGUGAGAUGUUGGGUUAAGUCCCGCAACGAGCGCAACCCUUGUCCUUAGUUGCCAUCAUUAAGUUGGGAACUCUAAGGAGACCGCCGGUGACAAACCGGAGGAAGGUGGGGAUGACGUCAAGUCAUCAUGGCCUUUAUGGCCAGGGCUACACACGUGCUACAAUGGCAGGUACAGAGGGAAGCCAACUCGCGAGAGGGAGCUAAUCCCAGAAAGCCUGUCUUAGUCCGGAUUGGAGUCUGCAACUCGACUCCAUGAAGUUGGAAUCGCUAGUAAUCGCAGAUCAGCAUUGCUGCGGUGAAUACGUUCCCGGGUCUUGCACACACCGCCCGU